rnacentral:rRNA from 1 species
AUUGAACGCUGGCGGCAUGCCUUACACAUGCAAGUCGAACGGCAGCACGGGAGCAAUCCUGGUGGCGAGUGGCGAACGGGUGAGUAAUAUAUCGGAACGUGCCCAGUAGUGGGGGAUAACCCGGCGAAAGUCGGACUAAUACCGCAUACGACCUACGGGUGAAAGCGGGGGAUCGCAAGACCUCGCGCUAUCGGAGCGGCCGAUAUCAGAUUAGCUUGUUGGUGGGGUAAAAGCCUACCAAGGCGACGAUCUGUAGCUGGUCUGAGAGGACGACCAGCCACACUGGGACUGAGACACGGCCCAGACUCCUACGGGAGGCAGCAGUGGGGAAUUUUGGACAAUGGGCGCAAGCCUGAUCCAGCCAUGCCGCGUGCGGGAAGAAGGCCUCGGUUGUAA